rnacentral:rRNA from 1 species
GACGAACGCUGGCGGCGUGCUUAACACAUGCAAGUCGAACGGAAAGGCCCUGCUUUUGUGGGGUGCUCGAGUGGCGAACGGGUGAGUAACACGUGAGUAACCUGCCCUUGACUUUGGGAUAACUUCAGGAAACUGGGGCUAAUACCGGAUAGGAGCUCCUGCUGCAUGGUGGGGGUUGGAAAGUUUCGGCGGUUGGGGAUGGACUCGCGGCUUAUCAGCUUGUUGGUGGGGUAGUGGCUUACCAAGGCUUUGACGGGUAGCCGGCCUGAGAGGGUGACCGGCCACAUGGGGACUGAGAUACGGCCCAGACUCUUACGGGAGGCAGCAGUGGGGAAUAUUGCACAAUGGGCGGAAGCCUGAGGCAGCAACGCCGCGUGCGGGAUGACGGCCUUCGGGUUGUAAACCUCUUUCGCCUGUGACGAAGCGUGAGUGACGGUAAUGGGUAAAGAAGCACCGGCUAACUACGU